AUACGUAGGGGGCGAGCGUUGUCCGGAAUGACUGGGCGUAAAGGGCGUGUAGGCGGCUGUCUAAGUCUGGAGUGAAAGUCCUGCUUUCAAGGUGGGAAUUGCUUUGGAGACUGGAUGGCUUGAGUGCGGAAGAGGUAAGUGGAAUUCCCAGUGUAGCGGUGAAAUGCGUAGAGAUUGGGAGGAACACCAGUGGCGAAGGCGACUUACUGGGCCGUAACUGACGCUGAGGCGCGAAAGCGUGGGGAGCGAACAGGAUUAGAUACCCUGGUAGUCCACACUGUAAACGAUGAAUGCUAGGUGUAAGAGGUAUCGACCCCUUUUGUGCCGGAGUCAACACAAUAAGCAUUCCGCCUGGGGAGUACGGCCGCAAGGUUGAAACUCAAAGGAAUUGACGGGG
rnacentral:rRNA from 1 species